CAAAGGUUAGUUUAUUUAAAAUAAUAGUUUUGGGAAUUGUUGAUGAGUUUAUUCUCCUUUGA
rnacentral:tRNA from 2 species